CCUACGGGAGGCAGCAGUAAGGAAUAUUGGUCAAUGGCGGAAAGUCUGAACCAGCCAUGCCGCGUGCAGGAUGAAUGCCCUAUGGGUUGUAAACUGCUUUUAUACAGGAAGAAAAACUUUCACGUGAGAAAGCUUGACGGUACUGUAAGAAUAAGGAUCGGCUAACUCCGUGCCAGCAGCCGCGGUAAUACGGAGGAUCCAAGCGUUAUCCGGAAUUAUUGGGUUUAAAGGGUCCGUAGGUGGAUAAUUAAGUCAGAGGUGAAAUCCUGCAGCUUAACUGUAGAAUUGCCUUUGAUACUGGUUAUCUUGAGUUAUUAAGAAGUGAUUAGAAUUUGUAGUGUAGCGGUGAAAUGCAUAGAUAUUACACAGAAUACCAAUUGCGAAGGCAGGUCACUAAUAUUCAACUGACACUGAGGGACGAAAGCGUGGGUAGCGAACAGGAUUAGAUACCCUGGUAG
rnacentral:rRNA from 1 species